UGGAUUAACGUUUAUGUUUGUGCAUAAUUUUCUUAAACAAGGUUGUCUUUUAAAUAAAAAUAAUAACAAUAUUAAUAGAAGCAUUUUUUUCUUAUAAUGGCAUAAGCAUUUAAACAUUUAUACAAUAUCCAACGUUUUAAUAAUUGAACUAAUUUAUCUUUAUAUUUUAUCAAUUUUUUUUUUACCAAUUUACCAAUUUUUUUUAAGCAUUUACACUUUAUGUUGGUAUUUUUUACUUUCUUUUUUCUUUUUUGUUGUUUUUUGGGGGAGGACACUGUCGGAUCUGAAACUCUGAAACCACAUCUCCCAUAAUUCCGUGCUUCCGCGUGACGAUACUUCCGGUUUGAUCAGGUCUCUUUGCCUGACCCACUAACCAACGGGACAGAGAAGUGUGUACUGGUGCUGUGCUGCACUCCUCUCCUCAUGCCCCUGCAAGUGACGUGGCCAUUCCCACAGUGCCCCCGUCUGGGCUGGAGGAUAUCCAGUUCAUUUGUGAUGGGCAUGGUUGGAUCAUACAGCUACCUGUGGACCAAAUAUUUGAACUCUUUGUCAGUGCACAACCAGGACGUUCUGCUGGACCUGGUGGAUGAACGGCCUCAGGAUACGCCGCUCAUCACUGUGUCCAAUCACCAGUCCUGCAUGGAUGACCCUCACAUCUGGGGUGUGUUGAAGCUUCGGCAGCUGUGGAACUGGAAGAGAAUGAGAUGGACCCUGACGGCGUCUGAUAUUUGCUUCACGAGGGAAUUCCACUCUCGAUUUUUCAGCAGAGGGAAGUGUGUACCGGUGGUUCGAGGUGAUGGAGUGUAUCAGAGAGGAAUGGACUUCCUCGUAGAGCGACUCAAUCAGGGCGACUGGGUGCACGUAUUUCCGGAAGGGAAGGUGAACGUGACGGAGGAGUUCAUCAGGUUAAAAUGGGGAGUCGGGCGUUUAAUAGCCGAGUGUUCACUUCAUCCUGUGAUCUUACCUCUGUGGCACGUCGGUCUGAAUGAUAUUCUUCCUAAUAAAACUCCGUACAUCCCUCGAAUAGGAAAGAGAGUAACUGUGUUAGUGGGAAAACCUUUUACAGUAAAACACAUAGUAGAAGCCCUGAGAGCGGAAAAUAAAAAUCCGGUAAGCUCAUCCUCAUCAUCAUCAUCCUCAUCAUCAUCAUCCUCAUCAUCAUCAUCCUCAUCCUCAUCAUCAUCAUCCUCAUCCUCAUCAUCAUCAUCCUCAUCCUCAUCAUUGUGCCAGAACUGGAUGGAAUUCACUGCUGAAUUGCAUUUCACUUUCAUCACUGUGUUGCAUUCACACCACACUGAUAUGCAAUCACUGUCCAAUCACAGCUCUAAGCUUCACUCUGGGGGGCGUGGCUAUAAUCUUUAAACAGGGAGAAGGAUUUCCAUAUAAGGAAAUACUUUUUAUCUUAGUGGUUUCUUCAUUCCUGCUGCGCUGAACUCUUAAUCAUCACCGCAUUUUUAUUUCGGAAUUAUAACUAAAACAUGAUCAAAUAAAUAAAUGUUCAGACAAAUAAAAAUCCUUACCGCUCCCAGCAGGACCGAGACGUUACGUGGGAUUAUCUGAAGAGCGAGGGGUUAAAUGUUUAAGGGUUUAUAUGGAGUUCUCAUCAUCACCAGCAGAUGAACUGAUUAGCAAGGUCACAGCAAGGUCACGUGUCUGAAAUAGUACUGAGCUACAUGUUCAUGUUCGGGAAGUGGAAGUCCGAUGGAGUGUGUUGGUGUGGAGUUCGGCUCCUUUAAUAGCAGGUUUAACGUCGCUCUGUGGGAUGCUGAAAGUUUAAUAUACUUUUUACCUCCGAACCCUGACUGAUACGUUCCCAGAACUUUAUCCCUGAUUUGUGAUCCUCAUGAUGCUGUGUGUUUAGGUAUAUUCUCUAACACACUCUGGGGUUCUCUAACACACUCUGGGGUUCUCUAACACGCUCUGGGGUUCUCUAACACACUCUGGGUUCUCUAACACGCUCUGGGGUUCUCUAACACACUCUGGGGUUCUCUAACACACUCUGGGUUCUCUAACACACUCUGGGUUCUCUAACACACUCUGGUUCCUUUAACACGCUCUGGGGUUCUCUAACACGCUCUGGGGUUCUCUAACACACUCUGGUUCUCUAACACGCUCUGGGGUUCUCUAACACACUCUGGUUCUCUAACACGCUCUGGGGUUCUCUAACACACUCUGGUUCUCUAACACACUCUGGUUCUCUAACACGCUCUGGUUCUCUAACACGCUCUGGGGUUCUCUAACACACUCUGGUUCUCUAACACACUCUGGUUCUCUAACACGCUCUGGGGUUCUCUAACACACUCUGGUUCUCUAACACGCUCUGGGGUUCUCUAACACGCUCUGGGGUUCUCUAACACACUCUGGUUCUCUAACACGCUCUGGUUCUCUAACACGCUCUGGGGUUCUCUAACACGCUCUGGUUCUCUAACACACUCUGGGGUUCUCUAACACACUCUGGGGUUCUCUAACACACUUUGGUUCUCUAACACGCUCUGGGUUCUCUAACACGCUCUGGGGUUCUCUAACACGCUCUGGGUUCUCUAACACACUCUGGGGUUCUCUAACACACUCUGGGGUUCUCUAACACACUUUGGUUCUCUAACACGCUCUGGGUUCUCUAACACGCUCUGGGGUUCUCUAACACGCUCUGGGUUCUCUAACACACUCUGGGGUUCUCUAACACACUCUGGUUCUCUAACACGCUCUGGGGUUCUCUAACACACUCUGGUUCUCUAACACGCUCUGGGGUUCUCUAACACACUCUGGGGUUCUCUAACACACUCUGGUUCUCUAACACGCUCUGGGUUCUCUAACACGCUCUGGGGUUCUCUAACACACUGUGGUUCUCUAACACGCUCUGGGUUCUUCCAGGAACAGGUGUAUUUAUAUCAAAACUUACAUCGUGUGACUUCUGAUGGAAGGGAACUAAUUCACGGGUUUCACAGUGACCUGGGGGUGAAUACUUAUGCACACACACGUUUAUGUUUUGUUAUUUGUUAAUAAUUUUGGAAACUAUAUAGACGUCUUCAGUAUUCUGGGCUGUUCUGUGUAGAUCCAUGUCCACUGUGAUCCCAGUUUCAGUUUGUAACACUACAUAAUACUCCUGCACAACAAUGUUAUAUUUUCAGACGGAGAACCAGAAGAAUUUGCUCUUAAUGUGGACGCUUUAAUAAAGAAAAUUAAACAGAGAGACAUCAGACGUACACGGCUGUGCGUUUCAGCGUAGCGCGUCUGCAGCACGGUGAUGAAAACCCAAAGCAGCGCAGUGUGGAACAGCAUUCAGUUCUGAUGCAGAGUGGAAAUGAGAAAAGCGCUGACGGACUUCAUCCAGGCCGAGUUCCGCACUUUAAAAUCACAGGCUGAAGCUCUUCAUCAGAGGAUUCAGACCAGCCAGUGAUCCACACGCAGCUCAAGAACCUGCAGGAUACGUUGGGCAUGGACUGAAACACACACACACACACACACACACACACACACACACACACACUCUGAUCAGACUGAAGCGGAGCGAGGCUGAAUGAGGUGAAAGUGUGUAAAAGUUCCUUCAGAGAUGUUUACAGCGCUCCUCCGAGCUCCACGAGGAACAUCACAGACUCAGAAACCUUCUCCGUUUAUGUGAAAUACGAAGUUCCGUACACGAGAGAACAUUUUUAUACCAGUUUUAGAUUUUUAAGGCAGUUAUUACGAGCGCAUCUCAAUCAACAACUGUAAUUUCUACACUUUUAUUAAAUGAAUUCCUAACCUGU